CCUCGAUAAACACUUUAAAAAUACUGUCAGCAUCAAAAAAUCCAUCCAUCCAUGUCCAACAACUAGACCAAAAUAGCCCCAUCUUAAGCUCCUUAUCUGAUCGAACUAAAACUUAUUUUGCAUCUCCUGUCACAUGGUGAGGCCAAAAACAAUAUCCACAUCUAUGUAACAAACAAAAAACUGAUCAAAUAGAACAAAAGGGAACCAAUCACCAAACCAGAACCGCUUUUCCUUCAAAAAUGGUGAAGAACCACACAAAGAUCCAUCUGAAAUGGAAGUGCAUAAACAAUAAGCAAGGGGAAAGCCCAGGAAGAAGACAAUGACAGUAGAAAAAUAUUAUACUCCCUCUACAAUGCUUCACGUCCAACAACCAGACCAAGAUAGCCCCACCUUAAGCUCCGACUUUGGUAGAAUCAAAACUUAUUUUGUAUCUCCUGUCAAAGGGUGGGACCAAAAACAAUAUACACAUGUACGUAACAAACAAAAAAUAGAUUAAACAGAGCAAAAGGGAACCAAGCACCAAACCAGAACCGCCUUCCCACGAGAACUGGUUAAUUAGAACCCAAAGAUCAAACAUUUGAAGAUUAAAGAGCAUAACAAUAAGCAAAGGGAAAAAGUUCACCUAGAAGAUAAAUCACAAUAGAAAAAUAAUAUACUCCUGUUGACACCCACCAUAAACACUAUACCAAUGGCAGCAUCCAAGAUUGGUCCAUAUCCAAAUAACCAGACCAAGAUAGCCUCACCUUAAAUACCUAACUUUGAUGGAAUCAAAACCAAUUUUGUAUCUCCUGACACAGGGUGAGGCAGAAAACAAGGUCCAAGUCUACGUAACAAAAUAAAACUAUAAUAGAGAGCAAAGAUAACCAAGGAUCAAACCAGAACAGUCUUCCACAGAAGCCUGAUUAAGAAACACACAACGAUCCGGCAUCUGGAAAUUGAAAAGAAUAACGAUAAGCAAGGGAAAGUUUAGGUAGAAUAUAAAAUUUAGUAAAAAAGUUACAAUACUAUACUCCCUAUGCAACCCUUGAUAAACACUAUAUCAAUGACAGCGUCAAAGGUUGCUCCGUGUCCAACAAUCAGACCAAGAUUGCACCACCAUAAGCUCCUACUUUGAUAGAAUCAAAACUUAAUUUAUAUUUUGUGUCAUAGGGUGAUGCAGAAAACAAUAUCCACGCCAACGUAACAAACAAAAAACUGAUGAAAGAGAAAAAAGAUAACAAAGCAUCAAACCGAACAGCCUUCCAAUUAAGAACCACAACGAUCAGAAAUCUGAAAAUUGAAGAGUAUAACGACAAGCACCGGAAACUCUAGGUAGAAGAGAAAAUAUAGUAGAAGAAAAUGUAGUAUAACAAUCUGCAUCCCUCAAUAAACAUUAUAUCAAUUGACAUCUUAUAUUAGUCCGCAUCCAACAACCCCACCAAGUUGGCCCCCACCUUAAGCUCCCACUUUGAUAGAAUAAAACUGAAUUUGUAUCUCCUGUCACAGGGUGAGGGCGAAAAAAAUAUCAAAGUCUACGUAACAAAAAAAAAAAAACUAUAAUAGAGAACACAGACAACCAAGCGUCAAACAAGAACUGCCUUUCAGAGAAGCUUGAUUAAGAACAAAACAGCAACCAAAGAUUUGUCCAUGUCCAAAAACCAGACCAAGAUAGCCCCCACCUUAAGCUCCUACUUUGAUAGAAUCAAAACCUAUUUUGUAUCUCCUGUCACAGGGUGAGGCUGAAAACAACAUCCAAGUCUACAUAACAGCAAAAGAACUAUAAUUGAGAGAGCAAAGAUAACCAAUUAUCAAACCCGAACUGCCUUCCAGUUAAACUUGAUUAAGAACCACAUAAUGAACAGGCAUCUGGAAAUGGAAGAGAGACUAACAAUAACCACAGGAAAGUCUAGAUGGAAGAUAAAUUGUAGUAGAAAAAAAUACUAUAUUAUACUCCCUCUGCCAUCCUCGAUAAACACUAUAAUUGACAGCGUCAAAGGUUGAUCUGUGGCCAAUAUAACUAAACCAAGAUUAGCCCCACCUUGAGCUCCUACUUUGAUAAAAUCAAAACAAAAUUUUUAUCAUCUGCCAUAGGAUGAGGCAGAAAUACAAUAUACACGUAUACGUAACAAACAAAAAAACUGAUGAUAGAGAGAAAAGAUAAACCCAGCAUCAAACCAGAAGUGCCUUCAAGUAAAGAACACCUGGAAAUUGAAGAGUAUAACGAUAAGUAUAGGAAACUCAAGGUAAAAGAGAAAACGUAAAAAAAAAAAAAAUAACUAUACUGUACACCAUCUGCCACCCUCGACAAACACUAUAUCAAUGAUGGCAUCAUAGAUUAGUCCAUAUCCAAAAACCAGACCAAGAUAACCCCCACCUUAAGCUUCAACUUUGAUAGAAUCAAAACCUAUUUUGUCUCCUGGCACAGGGUGAGGACCAAAACAUUGUCCAAGUCUACAUAACAAAUAAACAAUAAUUACAGAGCAAAGGUGACCAAUUAGCAAACCAGAACAGCCUUCCCGUGAAGCUUGAUUAAAAACCACACAGCGAUCAGGCAUCUGGAAAUUGAUGAGAACAACGGUAAGCAUGGGAAAGUCUAGGUAGAAGAUAAAAGAUAGUAAAAAAAAAAAAAACUAUUCUAUACUCUCUUUGCCAGGCCCACACCACUAUAUCAAUGACAGCAUCAAAGGUAGAUCCGUGUUCAAUAACCAGGCCAACAUUAGCCACACCAUAAGCUCCUUCUUUCAAAACUUAAUUUUUAUCUCCUAUCAUAGGGUGAGGCAGAGAACAAUAUCCACGUCUACAUAACAACAAAAAAUUGUUGAAACUGACAAAAGAUAACCAAGAAAACAAGAAGUGCCAUCCAUUAUGGAAAUUGAAGAGUAUAACUAUAAACACGGGAAACUCUAGGUAGAAGAGAAAAUGUAGUAGAAAAAAAAAAUACUAUUAUGUAUUUCCUUUGCGACCCUCGAUUUACAAUAUACCAAUGAUAACAUCAAAGAUCUGUCCGCGUCCAAAAACCAGACCAAGAUAGCCCCCACAUUAAGCUCCUACAGUGAUGGAAUCAAAACCUAUUUUGUAUCUCCUGUCACAGGGUAGGCCCAAAACAAUAUCCAAGUCUAUAUAACAACAAAAGAAAUAUAAUAGAGAGAUCAAAUGCAACCAAUUAUGAACCCAGAACUGCCUUCCAGUUAAGCUUGAUUAAGAACCACACAACGAUCAGGCAUCUGGAAAUUGAAGAGAAUAACAAUAAGCACGGGAAAGUCAAGAUGGAAGAUAAAUUGUAGCAGAAUUAAUACAAUACUAUACUCCCUCUGACACCCUCGAUAAACAUUAUAUCAGUGACAGCAUCAAAAGUUGAUAUGUCUCCAAUAACUAGACCAAGAUUAGCCCCACCAUAAGCUGCUUCUUUCACAACUUAAUUUUUAACCCCUGUCACAAGGUGAGGCAGAAAACAAUAUCCACGUCUACGUAACAAAUAAAAGAUUGUUGAAACUGACAAAAGAUAACCAAGCAUACCAGAAGUGCCUUCCAGUUAAGAACCACACAACAAUCAGACAUCUGGAAAUUGAAGAGUAUAACUAUUAGCACGGGAAACUCUAGGUAGAAGAGAAAAUGUAGUAGAAAAAAAAUACUAUUAUGUACUCCAUGUACUCCCUUUACCACCCACAUUAAACUAUAUCAAUGACAGCAUGAAGGAUUUGUCAGUGUACCAAAAACCAGACCAAGACACGCCCCCACCUUAAGCUCCUACUUUGAUAGAAUCAGAACCUAUUUUGUAUCUCCUAUCACAGGGUGAGGCUGAAACCAACAUCGAGUCUAAAUAACAACAAAAGAACUACAAUAGAGAGAGCAAAGGUAACCAACUAUCAAACCCGAACUGCCGUCCAGUAAGCUUGAUUAAGAACCACACAACGAUCGGGCAUCUGGAAAUGGAAGAGAAUAACGAUAAGCACCGGAAGGUCUAGAUGGAAGAUAAAUUGUAUUAGAAGAAAUACUAUACUAACUCCCUCUGCCACCCUCGAAAAACAUAUCAUGACCAUCAAAGGAUUGAUUGUGUGCAAUAACUGACUAAGAUUAGCCCUACCUUAAGCCCUACUUUGAUAAAAUUAAAACUUAAUUUUUAUCUCAUGUCAUAGGGUGGGGCAGAAAACAAUAUCACGUCUAUGUACAAACAAAAAUUGUUGAAAUGACAAAAGAUAACCAAACAUCAAACCAGAAGUGUCAUCCAGUUAAGAACCACCCCACGAUCAGACAUCUGGAAAUUGAAGAGUAUAUCUAUAAGCACGGGAAACUCUAGGUAGAAGAGAAAAUGUAUAGAAAUAAAAAUACUAUUAUGUACUCCCUUUGCCACCCUCGAUUAACACAAUAUCAAUGACUCAUCAAAGAUCUGUCCGCGUCCAAAAACCAGACCAAGAUAGCCCCCACAUUAAGCUCCUACAGUGAUGGAAUCAAAACCUAUUUUGUAUCUCCUGUCACAGGGUAGGCCCAAAACAAUAUCCAAGUCUAUAUAACAACAAAAGAAUAUAAUAGAGAGAUCAAAUGCAACCAAUUAUGAACCCAGAACUGCCUUCCAGUUAAGCUUGAUUAAGAACCAAACAACGAUCAGGCAUCUGGAAAUCGAAGAGAAUAACAAUAAGCACGGGAAAGUCAAGAUGGAAGAUAAAUUGUAGCAGAAUUAAUACAAUACUAUACUCCCUCUGACACCCUCGAUAAACAUUAUAUCAGUGACAGCAUCAAAAGUUGAUGUCUCCAGUAACUAGACCAAGAUUAGCCCCACCAUAAGCUGCUUCUUUCACAACUUAAUUUUUAACUCCUGUCACAAGGUGAGGCAGAAAACAAUAUCCACGUCUACGUAACAAAUAAAAGAUUGUUGAAACUGACAAAAGAUAACCAAGCAUACCAGAAGUGCCUUCCAGUUAAGAACCACACAACAAUCAGACAUCUGGAAAUUGAAGAGUAUAACUAUUAGCACGGGAAACUCUAGGUAGAAGAGAAAAUGUAGGUAGAAAAAAAAUACUAUUAGUACUCCCUUUACCACCCACUAUUAACACUAUAUCAAUGACAGCAUGAAGGAUUUGUCAGUGUCCAAAAACCAGACCAAGACAGCCCCCACCUUAAGCUCCUACUUGAUAGAAUCAGAACCUAUUUUGUAUCUCCUAUCACAGGGUGAGGCUGAAACCAACAUCCGAGUCUAAAUAACAACAAAAGAACUACAAUAGAGAGAGCAAAGGUAACCAACUAUCAAACCCGAACUGCCGUCCAGUUAAGCUUGAUUAAGAACCACACAACGAUCGGGCAUCUGGAAAUGAAGAGAAUAACGAUAAGCACCGGAAGGUCUAGAUGGAAGAUAAAUUGUAUAGAAGAAAUACUAUACUAUACUCCCUCUGCCACCCUCGAUAAACACACUAUAUAGUGACCACGUCAAAGGAUUGACUUGUGUGCAAUAACUUGACUAAGAUUAGCCCUACCUUAAGCUCCUACUUGAUAAAAUUAAAACUUAAUUUUUAUCUCAUGUCAUAGGGUGGGGCAGAAAACAAUAUCCACGUCUAUGUAGCAAACAAAAUUGUUGAACUGACAAAAGAUAACCAAACAUCAAACAGAAGUGUCUCCAGUUAAGAACCACCCCACGAUCAGACAUCUGGAAAUUGAAGAGUAUAUCUAUAAGCACGGGAAACUCGAGGUAGAAGAGAAAAUGUAGUAGAAUAAAAAUACUAUUAUGUACUCCCUUUGCCACCCUCGAUUAACACAAUAUCAAUGACUACAUCAAAGAUCUGUCGCGUCCAAAAACCAGACCAAGAUAGCCCCCACAUUAAGCUCCUACAGUGAUGGAAUCAAAACCUAUUUUGUAUCUCCUGUCACAGGGUAGGCUCAAAACAAUAUCCAAGUCUAUAUAACAACAAAAGAAAUAUAAUAGAGAGAUCAAAUGCAACCAAUUAUGAACCCAGAACUGCCUUCCAGUUAAGCUUGAUUAAGAACCAAACAACGAUCAGGCAUCUGGAAAUCGAAGAGAAUAACAAUAAGCACGGGAAAGUCAAGAUGGAAGAUAAAUUGUAGCAGAAUUAAUACAAUACUAUACUCCCUCUGACACCCUCGAUAAACAUUAUAUCAGUGACAGCAUCAAAAGUUGAUAGUCUCCAUAACUAGACCAAGAUUAGCCCCACCAUAAGUGCUUCUUUCACAACUUAAUUUUUAACCCCUGUCACAAGGUGAGGCAGAAAACAAUAUCCACGUCUACGUAACAAAUAAAAGAUUGUUGAAACUGACAAAAGAUAACCAAGCAUACCAGAAGUGCCUUCCAGUUAAGAACCACACAACAUCAGACAUCUGGAAAUUGAAGAGUAUAUCUAUAGCACGGGAAAUUCUAGGUAGAAGAGAAAAUGUAGUAGAAAAAAAAUACUAUUAUGUACUCCCUUUCCACCCCGAUUAAACAUAUCAAUGACCAUAAGAUUGUCGGUCCAAAAACCAGACCAAGACAGCCCCCACCUUAAGCUCCUACUUUGAUAGAAUCAGAACCUAUUUUGUAUCUCCUAUCACAGGGUGAGGCUGAAACCAACAUCGAGUCUAAAUAACAACAAAAGAACUACAAUAGAGAAAGCAAAGGUAACCAACUAUCAAACCCGAACUGCCGUCCAGUUAAGCUUGAUUAAGAACCACACAACGAUCGGGCAUCUGGAAAUGGAAGAGAAUAACGAUAAGCACCGGAAGGUCUAGAUGGAAGAUAAAUUGUAUUAGAAGAAAUACUAUCUAUACUCCCUCUGCCACCCUCGAUAAACACACUAUAUCAGUGACCACGUCAAAGGAUUGACUUGUGUGCAAUAACUUGACUAAGAUUAGCCCUACUUAAGCUCCUACUUUGAUAAAAUUAAAACUUAAUUUUUAUCUCAUGUCAUAGGGUGGGGCAGAAAACAAUAUCCACGUCUAUGUACAAACAAAAUUGUUGAAAUGACAAAAGAUAACCAAACAUCAAACCAGAAGUGUCUCCAGUUAAGAACCACCCAGAUCAGACAUACUGGAAAUUGAAGGUAUAUCUAUAAGACACGGAAAUUGGUAGAAGAGAAAAUUAAGUAGAAUAAAAACUAUUAUGUACUCCCUUUGCCACCCUCGAUUAACACAAUAUCAAUGACUCAUCAAAGAUCUGUCCGCGUACCAAAAACCAGACCAAGAU
rnacentral:lncRNA from 1 species